UCCCUGGUGGCUCAGACGGUAAAGCAUCUGCCUACAAUGCCUACCAUGCAGGAGACCUGGGUUCAAUCCCUGGGUAGGGAA
rfam:TPA: Bos taurus chromosome 9, whole genome shotgun sequence.